GACGAAGGGGGCUAGCGUUGUUCGGAAUUACUGGGCGUAAAGCGCGUGUAGGCGGUUGUUCAAGUCAGGUGUGAAAGCCUUGAGCUCAACUCAAGAAAUGCACUUGAUACUGGAUGACUAGAGGACCGGAGAGGAUAGUGGAAUUCCCAGUGUAGUGGUGAAAUACGUAGAGAUUGGGAAGAACACCAGUGGCGAAGGCGGCUAUCUGGACGGUUUCUGACGCUGAUGCACGAAGGUCAGGGGAGCAAACGGG
rnacentral:rRNA from 1 species